GAAAAAAGAGAGGACAUAAGGCAAACACCCUAGAAACUUUCCCCACUUUCUCGUCUUCAACACGCACCGCCGCCGCCGCCUCCCACCUCCUCACCAUUGUCGCCGCCCUCCUGUGCCGCCAGCCUCCCUCUCCUCCGACCUCCAGAUCCGUCCGCAGCCGCCGGCCACCAGAUCCAUCCACAGCCGCCGGCCACCAGAUCCAUCCGCUGCCGCCGGCUACAAGAUCCACCUGCGGCCGCCGGACACCAGAUCCCAUCCCAGAGCUCCACCACUGCCUUCUGCCACCUCGAAUCUCAUCUGACCUCCACCGCUACCUGCUACCACAUACGACCGCGAGCGCGGCCCACCUCCCUUCUCCUCCGAUCACCACCUCCAUCCACUUCCGCAACUCGUGCUCCCUCCUCUCCCUUUUGUCCAGGCCAGCAGCUUCGUUUUGGUGUGGUAAGUAUCAAUCAUGGUCAUAGGUAAGAUUAUUACUCAUAACUGUGGCAAAAUGAGGGCCUUUUGAAUUUUCAGUGCGUUGUUUUAUUUUAGUUUUCACGAUGGAAGAAACAACUUUGUUCUAUCUUGUAGCUCAUAGAUUUAGGUGCUACUGAAGGUGCGUUAUUUUUGCAGCAAGCUGAGAAAUGGCAUGGUGCCUCCGUGUACCGAGAAGGUUCAAACAACAGAUUCUAAUCUGCACCGGAACAAAUUCUGCGCUGUUUUUUUUAGCUUGUUGCAGAUGAUGUGUUCCCACAAAGACAGCUAAAUGUGAAGAAUGUUUAUAGCUUACUGGAUUCUUUACCAGAACCUCCAUUAGUAUUUAACUGUGAUGUGAUGGAGGAGAUGCUUCAUCGUUGAUACUACAAUUAUUAAGGUAGCAACGGUGGUAAGAGCAACUGUGCUUCCGAAGGAGGAUCUUAGCUUCAACUAAUUAUUGACACUCUUAUGGUAUGUUGGAUCUCUUGUUGCAUUCACUAUUAGUGGAAUGUGAUGGAUGGGAAAUAGUGGAGAUAUAUGUAUGUAGGCAAUGUUACUUAUCAUGAACUUGUAUGACUUGGAAAUUCAUGUAUUUUGUGUUAAAUUGUACUGCCAUGUGCAGUGUGCUGGAAGCAAAUUGGAGUGGCGGCUCAUGUAUGUGUGGCACAUUUAUUACCCGCUUUUGGGCAAGUCUGUAUAUGUCAAUUAUCAUUUGUUGGAACAUGUGUCAGUGGA